AACAGCUUUACACUGUUUUUCAGUGUAACCGCAGUAAAGCAAAGAAAAAAAUGCAGCUUGAGCCCUUGACCUUCAAGCUGAAUCCAUUUAAAGUGAGCAAGAACAGGCACUUCUGGGUCAUUAAAACAUGCAUGAAACCAGAAUAUUGACAGCUCUCCACCACCAAUGUCACAUUUGGUGUCCGCCCAUCUGGACCUGCCUCUUCCUGCCCGGGCACCACAUGACAGGAAGAACCACCAUCUUGGGCAAUCACAAUGGGACUCCAGUAUGUGAAGAACUGAUUUUUGCUCACUUUAUUUGAAUCAAAUAAAUUUGUAAUUAUGCAGAGUUUGUCCAAGUGUUCCCCAAUACUCUGUCUUUGUUCUCUUAUUAAACAAUAUACAGGCAGU